UCCUAGCCGUAAACGAUGUGGGCUGAGUGUUUCUUGAACUUCGAGUUCAAGAAGUGCUGAAGGGAAACCGUUAAGCCCACCGCCUGGGGAGUACGGUCGCAAGGCUGAAACUUAAAGGAAUUGGCGGGGGAGCACCACAAGGGGUGGAGUCUGCGGUUUAAUUGGAUACAACGCCGGGAAACUUACCAGGGGCGACGGCAGGAUGAAAGUCAGAUUAAUGAUCUUGCUGAACGAGCCGAGAGGUAGUGCAUGGCCGCCGUCAGCUCGUACCGUGAGGCGUGCGGUUAAGUCCGUUAACGAGCGAGACCCGUGCCUCUAUUUGCUACCUUCCUCGUGGGAGGGAGGGCACUAUAGAGGGACCGCUGGCGAUGA
rnacentral:rRNA from 1 species